GGUCCCCUAACUUCCUGAUCACCUGGGCUGGCGACUGUCAAGUCACCUGCUGACCUGACCGGUGGGCCUCCCUAUGAAGGCGGGGUAUCGCUCGAGAUCCCUAACAGCUCGCGCAUUUGCUGGCGCACUGUCAGCUCGGUAAAUGUCCUUCGGAACUGAAGAAAACGGAGAACCCGGAUUUCAUAUUCCUUUUACCUCUUAGAGCAUUUUUCUCAUACCGUUCUCCGUGGGCGCACAGGAAAUGUUUGCGGAGACUCACGGUGAGAGGCAUCCAAGUCUCUUGUGUUAGGUGAGGGGACUGAUGUCCAGGAAACUGCAAAUCCUGGUAUAUCCUACAUCGCCCCUAUCCCUAAGGAGGCUGGUGGCAAUAAUUCAGAGAGACCUCUGUCAAAGAGAAAGCUUUGGUUCCUACUAGAGAUUUAAAAAUUACCAGAGGUUUGUAGGUGCUCAGUAUAUACGCACAAUCUGUCCCAAACAGUCACCCCUACUUUUCAUGAUCAAGGCCUACAAAGGCCCCUGGUGAAUAUUGUUCACUGGCUAAAGGAAUGCAUGUUAUCUAGAUAGUUCUAUAGAUAACAUAAGGCAACAAACAAUACAACAUGGUUACUGUGUGUCAAUAGGUGUAAGAAUUUCAGUUUAUGCAUGUAAGUGAGACCAGUUGGGCUGGGAGAGCUUGGGAGGAUUAUGCACAGAACAUGAACCAUGAACUAGGUAGGUGUUGGGGAAUAAUCAGGAUCUGAAUACAGCACCAAAGAACCACAGAGGGAGACCAUUCACUGAACACUGGCUACCAUCUAUUCUAAAAUCUCCAGCAAAAAAAAAAAAAAAAAAAAAAAAAAAAAUAGGAAUAGAAAGGAAUCUCCAAUUUUCUCAUCCCAAGCUUCUACUCUCCUCUUCCACUCUGUUCGGGAUUCACGCAAAUAGCAUAAAGAUUCUUCUCUCUCAAAGUUCACAGUCUCCAGUUACUGCUAGUUUCAGGUCCUGGAGACCAGUAACUGUCUAGUUUUUCCUGUCUAGUAACUAGUAUGUUGUAGAGGCUGAAAUCAUGCCCCCAAGUCCCUGAUCCAUGUAUUUCUACCCAUCAGUGUUGUGCAAUCCACAAUCCUGCAAGAACAGGAACAGAGCCCUGCAAAAUAAAGGCUUAAAGACAAAAAUCAUUAGAUACUACUCAGCAAUAAAAAGGAAUGAACCACUGACACAUACAGAACGUGGAUGAAUCUCAAGGCUUUGUGGUAGGUGAGAGAAGCCAGACAACAAAAGACCAAAUUGUAUAUAAUUCCAUUGAUAUGAAAUCCAAAAAAGGUGAAACUACAAGGAAAGAACGUACAGCGGUUGGCAGGGGUAGGAGGUUGACUGCAAGGGGCGUGAGGCUCAUUUUGGGGGAUAAAAGAAAUAUUUUUAAAUACAAUAGUCAAAAGUAGUCAGAUUAUACACAAUCAAAUUACCUAUUUUAGGUGUACAAACUAUACCUCAAUAAAAAUGGUAUUGGUACGAAAAGUAAGAUAAUCUCAACAAAUCUACAUGAUAAAUAAGAUGAUAUUCAGCUCAAAUGUGCAAACUCAGUCCCAGGAUUAGAAACACACCGCUGUCUGCACGAGCUGUGACAAAGCCACAGCAGAGUCCAGUCCUAACACUCUGCUGGUCCUCAUAAGCUCUAAAGAGCUUCAGGCAGAAAUACUACCCAAGAAUUGCAGGGGGACCCAUCUUCUGGAAACAUGUCUCUUUGGGCAGUUUAUGGGAGGUCAGAGAUGAUGUGAAAUGUUUGGGGGCACAGAUUUCAAACCCCCGUUGGACUUUUGUCCUAGGAAAUGAGCACUUGGAUUUUCAUCAUAUCGUCCCCCAAAUCGCCACGAUCAUCUAGAGUAUGGCCCCCGAUAUCAGUGGGGAUGAGGUUCCAUGCAGAAGUUCUCCAGUUCCGGAGACGGAAAGAGAGGGAGAGAGACCCCAAAUGUGAGUGGAGGAGCGACAGAGAGAGGGAGACAGAGGAUC